GUACACGUCGGUGCACUGAAUCCUCCCCAUAUAAAAGUACCCUAUUUUUUAUUUAGGAAGAAAAACAAUCGGUGAUUUUUAUAAUUACAUGCGUUCUCUUUUUCACUCUCCAUAUUUUGCACCCAACUCGCAUCCACGAUUAAUUUCCUCGGAUUAUCCUCUCCCACACCACGGCCCUCAUUUACGUAUCUCCAUCGCUAUUCCGAUCUCCACCUCCGUAUAAUUACCUCAUUUCUCAAGGAUUUUAAGGUCAAACGUUUUGAUGCAUAAUUUGAAUGGGUUCUGUUAAUAUCUGGCACUCAGACUAGAUCUUUGAUCACUUGAAAUCACAAAUGCUGUGCAGGUAUGCUCUAAAUGUAUUUGCAUAACCUAUCUUGCUUGUUUAUAACAUGUUAAUACUUUGAAUGUUGAAAGCUGUGUUUUCUUUGGAGAUUGGGUUCUUCACACAGUCAGACACAAAUAUGCUCCACACAAAGUCAAGAAUUGGAAAGAGGAAUCCAAGGAGGAUAAGGCUAUAAUCACAGAUUCAUUGAGGGGGAGUUAUAAAAUAUCUUGCUAUGUUCAGGUUUUGUGUAAUUAACUGACUUUUUUUGUUCUUCUUAUGCUACACUAUGCUUGGGUUCGACUAGACGGACCCGGAUCUGAUGAGGUACAUUGAAGAGAAGAUGGCCAAGUUGUAUAGAUCUUAGAGAAGUAGGUUGUACAAACUUCAAGAAGCGUGCUAUGACCCUGCAUAUGCCGAAGCACACCCUCCCGAUGAGGUCCUGGUUGGUAAUAGAUAAAUAAAUGAAUGGUUAUGUGUUGGUUUCUCUGUUUAUUGGGCAUGAGAAAAUUUGCACUGGAAUCUAUUAUCUAUCCUUCUCUUUGUUCUACGGCUACAAUCCAGCUUUAUGUUCUCCAUUAGUUUGAUUGUUUUAUACAUAUAUAAUUAGAAUAGCCUGGAUGUAGGAUAAAGUUCUUGAUUUUACAUAAGGUGAUUUAUUUGUGAAAUGAAUUGAAAAUUCCUGCAGAAGUGUCCAUUUCUUACUUUUUCUGUUGGAAAUUCAUUGUAGCAGUGUAGUUUAUCUUGACUGAUGAAAGUGCCUGCAUAGUUAACAUCUUUGGCUUGGAAGUGUGAAACCUUUGUUAUCGGUUUUCCUAUAUAUUUUGAGUCGCUAUGCUGUCUACGACUGAUUUUUAAACAUGUCUUUUCAUGCCUUUCCAAGCUUAUUGAGUCAUAAAACCAUGCAUGUUGAUCUUAUUAAGUUAUAUAUCGGGCAGAGGAAUUCACUGUUUGUGCUAUGGUCCUCAGAGGUAGACCAAAUUUCUUCCCCAAGUGUUAUAUCUACUAGUUCCUAAACGACAGAACACAAAUGGUUGAGUUGGCAAGCACAAUGGAGAAACUUAUAGGCUAUGAUGCACGGAAACGCGAAAAUGCCCGCGUAUCCCGUAUCGAAACGGGAAACGGGUACGAAACGCGUCGGAAACGCGUAUCCUAAUUUGGAUACGUACGUAUCCGAAUAGGAUACGUACGUAUCCGAAUAGGAUACGUGAGAAUGUAAAUACAUCGGAUACGUGGGGGUAAUUCCGACUUUUUACCCCAAAAAAUAGAAAAAAAAAAAAAAUCCUAAACCAGAUCGAGAGAGAGGGAAGACAAGUCGCAGACCAGAUCGAGAGA